CCUCACGUCCUGCUCAGCUGACAGCCCCUGGAGGAGAUGAAGCUUUCAAAGUGCUGGUCUUCCGCCUUCUCUUUGACACGCUGUUCCUCUAAGGAGUCCACGAGUUUGUCCCUUUGCUCAAUCACUUGCAUCAUCUCGUUUCUGCUCCAGUCUGCUUUGGUGAUCUUCUAAUUCCAGUUCUUGGGCCCUGGAGGCAGAAGAGAAGACCCAGACACACCAAGAAGGCCUUGUGAAGACAGAAACAGAUAGUGUGGAGGUGCAGCCACAGGCUAGGAAUGCCUGGAGCUGCAAGAGGUGAUCACUUCAUUGUCUACUAUGGUUCUCCAUAUGACGAGGGAGUUGCAGGCUAUCCAGGGAGCUCACUGCAUGACUAUGUAGGUGCUUGAUGAGGAGAUAUAGAAAUGCAAUUGAUCUUACCAGUUUGAUCUUAUAUCUAUGGACUAUGAUAUUGGAUCUUAUUAUUUUUAAUAAUUUCUUUGGUAUGCCCAUUUGGGUUUUCCAUGUGGGCAAUCUGAAAACAAUAAAAAUGUGUCUCUUCCUUUCCAAACUUUAUGUUGCCCCCACCCCCCACCCCUUGCCUUACUGAACUGGCUAGAAAAGCAUGUACCAAGCUGAAUAGAAGAUGUCAUGGUAGGCAACCUCAUCUAUUACUGAUUUUGAAAAGAAUGCUCCUAUUCAACAAUGUUGCUGCAGGGGUUUGGAAGAGACUCUUCAAAUUAAGAAAGUUCUAUUGCUUCUUUUGCCAAAAGUUAUUUUUUUUUUGUAUCCCAAAUAGAUGUUCAAUUUUGUCAUAUGAUUUUCCUUAUUGUAUUGAAAAGCUCAUAUAGCUUUUCUCUUUAAUCUUUAAAUAUGGAGACUGUCAAAUCACACUUAGAUUGCCAGAAUUUAAAAUUAAUGGGAUUAGUGUUCAUGGGAUUCUUUUGUCUCUUUGAAUUUUUACUGUAUCUUUGGUCUAGUCUGUCCUUUUUGUUCUUUAUUUCUGUCAAUUAUUUUUAAAAAAUCAGUUUAAGAGGGUUGUCUUUGGUCUUUACAGUCAACUUUUGGCCUAUAAAGAGGACACUGACUUUUUCCAGGGCCCACCCAAUAGAUGGAUUGUGGAUAUUUGUCGAGCAGGGCAGUCUUCCAUGGACUGUGAACAUCCUUGCACGUCUUCACUGAGUGUGUCAAACUGCAAGGUCUAGCCAGCCUCUGACCUUGAGCCAUUCCUGAAACUAGCCAGGUAGAUAAUUCUGAGAAGUAGGUAGGCACGCCCUAGGAUGACCACUGCACAAUGACCUGCUUCCUGGAAAAGAGCUACAGGCCCACUUAGCAUUUGCUCCAGAGUUGUUGAGUUCUUCACCCGGGGAUCCUUAGCUGUGGUACACACCUUGGUGUGCACAGGUGCCAUCCAGGCCUAUUAUGUCAUACCCUGGGACUUGGCACAGGCCACUUGUGCCACCAUGCUGAUGCUCCUGCUGUACAUUGUGCUAUGGAUAAUAAACUCCCUUCCUGUGAUUCACUAAAUUUCACUGGAAGGAUCCAGAACCUAUAAAGCUAAGGCAAACCAACUCAAAUUCCUUGCUUCAUUAACUCUGGAUUCUUGUUACUCUUACAUUCUCAAUAGUUUGAGUCCUUUUUCUGACCAUAUCCUAUUUUAUUCUGGGGUGAAAUAUUAUCUGUGGUUCCAUUUUUAUGCUUACCUCUAUUCAAACAGUCAGACUCCUUGAACAUGGAGGGUCCUCAACACUUCCCUGUUCUGCUGACCUUUACAAGCACAGUAACCGGACAUGUGUAUAACCUUGAGUUGACCGCCUUUGGGUACAUUUAGAGAACAAAUAGUUCUGGAAGGUUUCCUAAACGAUAUCCGGUCCCCAGAUCCAUUCCCAAGUGAUGGCUGGCUAUCAGAGAGGCAGGCUUUAGAACCACAGUGUUCUGCUCUCAUUGUUGAACUGCUUUUAUGGAAUCAGUGGUGUUUUGUUGGGGCACAACAAUGAAUCUGCAAUGAGAUUCUCACUUGGACAAAACAUGUGAACUGCAUGUAUUUUUUUGUAUUUAUAGAAACCAGCUUAAAUCUCUUCUAGGGAAUAUAGUUAUAAGUGAACAGAGUGAAUAAAUAAGCAAAUGAACACAAUUUGAGAAAACUGCAUUUUCAAGUGAUGGGGAUAUAAAAGGAAGGAGAAGGAAUGAAUCUUUUUGGAACACCCAUUAUAUGCCAGGCUCCUUUUCAGAUGAUUUACCAACAUCAUAUUAUUUAAUGUUUUCUUUUUACAACCCCAGUAGGUGGAGAUUAUUAGUCCCAUUUUACAGAGGAGAAAAUUUGUCAGAGAGGUAUUUGCUUUAUAAUGGCAACACCAAGAUUCAAACUCAGGAGCGUCUAAUACCUGUUUUGUUUUUUUCCCCCCAUCAGGACUCAUGUUUAAAUUAUUUAGGAAAAUAUUAUUCCUUCUUUUCCUCAGCUGUAGUCAAGAUGAAAACCACAGAGUAUAAACCAAACUACUUCCCUCUUCCUGUCUAAAUCGUCCUUGAAGUUUCUCCUUAUAAUGUGUGCUCCUGCUGCCACCUGCUGGCAGCCUCACUCAUCAUACUUGUCUUUGUGAACCCCUUAAUAAAGGAGAAACCAUCUGAAAACCAUCCAAAAAAGGCAAGAAGCCGAAUGCAGACAACCAGCUGAUAAAGUGAGUUAAACAAUAAGGGAGGAAUAAAUUGUCCACUUUCCCUUCAGAUAAAUCCUUUCUCCUUUGAAGCUGCUCAGUUUUCCUCAGAUUUCACCUCUUUCCAGAUAUGGAGAGAAAGCUCAGAUUCAGACAUCUGGGCCACUUAGGUUUGAAGGGUGGUCUCUUGAUAAAUGGGGGUAUCCAGGGGCCCCUGUGGGCAACACUGACCACCAUGUUGGCCACCAACAAACCAGUGGAUAGCAAACAGUGCCUCCACCGAGAAGGGGCUUAGUGGCCGGCCGAGUCAGGGUGGCCUUCCCACCGAGGGCAGCCCCCAGGAAUGAGGGCACCGCUAGUCCUGUCCACCACCUGUGCAGAUAGGACCAUGGGGGGAUGCCAUCGCCUUUGUCAAAGACAGACAGACACAGACAUGUCCUGCAAAUCAUCAUGAUUUGUCAUCUAGGGUGGAUGGGUCAGAUUUCUGUUUUUCUUUGUUUCCCUUUUCUCCACAAAAUGGGGAAAAAUCCAUCCCGGGGGAGCGGAGGAGCUCAUUUCUGAUUGAUGGGGAAGAAGAAAGCAGGAAUUGUUGUCAGGACAAUUAGGAGCUCAUCAAAGCCUCAUUUUGCUCAUCAGCCAUCAUGGCCCUUGUCCUGUACCCCCGCACGGUCCUCUAAUUCAACGCCCCCCUAAUGAAUAACUCCCAGGAACAAAAGGCCCUUUCAGGCUGCCGCACAUAAUUAUUAGAGGAGCCUGGCCUGACUGUCGCAGGGUACUCCUGUUUUCAGGCCUGUCUCUAAAUUUGGUUAUUCACAACCUUUACAGCUCAAUAUUAUUGCCUAACUGUGAUCAUUUUCUAAUUAUCCUAAUAAUACCUAUUAAAUAAUUCCCAUUAAAUCACUUGAACCGGAGCAGCAGAGGCCAGCUCAAAUACAACUUAACCUAAUAAGCAUUGGUCAUUCAUUAAGCAACAGGGCAAUCUCUUAAAGGGACUGGAUAGAAUAUUGAACUGCAAAGGAAUAUUAUUAUUACACAAAUGUUAUUAUGAGUUACAGUGUAUUAAUUCUGAUGGCCUGGCUUACAACUCUUCCUGUGGGUCUCCAGGAAGGCCAUACUCCAUGACUUGACUCUUUUUUGUCUCCACCCCCCCCCCCUUGUUGAUCUGUAUCUGUCACCCCCACAAGGAUAUUCAAGGACAAAAAGGCCCAUAAACUUAACAGGGGAAUUAAAUUAACAAGGACAUAGAGGGAAUGAAUGGAAUCCAUCUUCUGACGGGCUUGGCACGCCUUUGAAAACACUAUCCACUGGCAGGAUUUCUUUAGGUGAAAUUCAAAAUAGCUAGCUAGCUAGCUUGCUUUGCUUUUUCUUUUUCUUUCUUUCUUUUCUUUUCUUUUUUUUUUUUUUUUUACAACUGGUAUGAGGGAAAUUUUCAAAAGAAGCUUUAGAAAUUUGGUAUCUAUGAUUUAAAUUUCAAACAGUCAAGAUUAGAAAGACAGUUCUUUAAACGUAUAUGUGUGUGGAGACUUAAUAUUUUGCAAAAUAAGAUUAGGUAGUGUUUGUUGGAUGCCAGCACUCUAGUAGACACCCUGGUAGAUGUUUGCCCAUCAACUUCUUAAUUCUCAAAAUGACUUGACAAUACAGGAAUUAUCAUCUCCAUCUUUCAGAUAGGAAUCUGGGGCCAGAGACAUUAAGCAACUUUCCCAAUUCUGCCCAGCCUAAUGGGAGCAGAACCAUGUCACAUGUUGACCUGUGUUCCUACUGGCAAACGGACACAGGCCCCAGCUCUGCUGGUGUGUCCUUUUCACUUCCCAGGCUUUUUGCUGCAACCAAGAGAUUCCUACAGAUAAGUACUGAUGAGGAGGUUCUCUUUACAAGGAAAUCCAGUGUAAAUUAGUAAGAAAAGGAAAAAAAAAACUUGAUUAAUCAUUCACUGGAUGCCAGGCCCUGAGCGAGGGGUUUUGUGUGAGCUGUUUUAGCUAAUCCUUGGUGCAAGCUCAAGAAGCAAGUCUGGUCAUCACUCCCACUUAAGGAAACUGAGCCCUCACUGGUGAAUUCCUGUUCUUCCUCCCGAUUCUCAUCUUGCACACCACCUUUCCCAAGGAGCCUGGCCUGAUCACUCUCUCCCUCUAAGAUCUUGGUUCACUGGCACGGCCCCCUCAUGCUAUUAUAGCUCUCAUACUGUACUGUGCUCCACCUGUUCACCUGUCUCUGUCUCUCAGUGGACAAAUGGACUAUAAACUUCUCAAGGCAGAAACGUUGUCAUACCCAUCACCGUAGUGUGAUGGGUAUGUGCCUUCAUGUCCAGCACGUGGCAGGAGUUCAGGGAUGGGCUCGAUUUGAAUGUAGGAGUCUGAAGCUCCGUGGGCCAUUCCCAUUUAUUGCUUUUACCUAAGUCCAGGCAAGGGCUGAUUCAAUUCAGCAUCAUGUAUAAUUUCUUCUUUAAUCAUCAUUUCAGUUUAUAAGGCAGAAAAGCACUCGCAUGUCAGUUUUCGAUGAGAAAAAAUGAAAGUUUAUAAAGGUUUACAACGUGACUAGCCCCAGGUGAUACAGAAGGAAAAGAGAGAAACCAGGACUUUAACUGAGCUUGGAAUCACUUCCAAAAAUUGCUCAAAUUCCCAAAUAUUUCCCCUGCAUGUAUCUUAAACCCUGAAUUGCAAAGGACAUUUAUGCUAGCCAGAAUAGAGGCUGCAUGUCUCAAAGAGCAGUGACAAGGUCCACCAGCUGACCAAUGCCCAGAGGAACUUCAUAUUGAACCACCAGGUAGGUUUUUCUUCCCCCCCCGGUGCUUGCUUUCUUUUUUUAAUUCUGAAAUGGUCUUGCUAAGUUUCUCAGCAUCUCACUAAGUUGUUGAGACUGUCCUCAAAUUUGGAAUCCUCCUGCCAAGUUGCUGGGAUUAUAGGCAUGCACCUCCAAGCACAGCCACUAUGGGAUUUUUAAAGUGUGAAGCAGGAAUGUGAACUUAGGAUAUAGAAAAACUAGACAAAAGGAGGGAAGUUAGUGUAAACGAUAUAUACCUUUAGGUAUUAGUAAGAGAAAUAAAUUUAGCCUUUUGUUUUCUAUUUUCUAGUCAGGCAUGCAAAGGAAAAAUAUUAGUGUAAAAUGGGAUGAUUUCCAGCAUACCCUAGUGACACAGCCACAUGAAUGUUGAUAGCAGCUCAAUUCACAAUAGCUAAGCUAUGGAACCAACCUAGGUGCCCUUCAACAGAGGAAUGGACUUAAAAAAUGCGGUAUAUACACACAAUGGAAUAUUACUCAGCUAUAGAGAAGAAUGAAAUUAUGGCAUUUAACAGUAAAUGGAUGGAACUGGAGAUUAUCAUGAUAUGUAAAAUAAACCAAUCCCCCCCAAACCAAAGGUUAAAUUUCUCUCUGAUAUUCGGAUGCAAACAUACAAUAAGAGAAGGAGGGAAGAACAGAAGUUCAUUGGCUUCAACAAAGAGAAAUGAAGGGAAGGGACGGGGAAUGAGUAUAGGAAAGACAGUAGAAUGAAUCAGACAUAAAUUUUCCAUGUUCCUAUAUGAAUACACGACCAGUAUAACUCCAUACCAUGUACAACCACAAGAAUGGGAAGUUAUACUUCAUUAUGUAAAAAUGUCAAAAUGCAUUCUAUUGUCAUGUAUACAAAUAAAAAUAAGUUAUUUAAAAAAAAAAAAAAAGCUUAAAAAAAAGUGUGAAGCAGAUGUGGACUCAGCACUACUUGUCCACGUUGACAGAUCUCUGGGGGGACGGGACAUGUUCUUUGUUUUGCCCCUAGGAUAGGACCAGCACCAUUCUCAAACCGUAGACUAAGACCCGCACCCCGUUGCUUGGGUGCCGUACCUGCUUCUCCUCGCAGUGCCUUCUCCAGCCUCACGCCCUGGAUCUCGGAAGCCCUCUGCCGCUCCUCUACCUCCUCCAGCUGCCUCUGGAUGGCCUGCAACACCAGGAUCACACAUUACGAGGGAGCACUGGACACAUAUCAAGGGGGCUGAUUGUGCCACUGGCUCUCCAGGAGGAAGAGGCGCUGUCGCGAGUGACCUUACUGCCUUCAUGUCCUGGCCAAGGGCCUCGGAAUUCCCAGACCAGCAGACCUUAAUGUUCCCUGUGUUUUCCAUCUGCUGCCAAGUACAUUAUCAAAACAGUCCCCUGAUAAGGUCAGGCACACUGGAGUCCUCCAGGAUGGGACUGCAGGGAUUGUAGGUGGUGCUCGUGGUUCCUGGGUUCCUUGGAGCCCAUAGCCUCUGACUAUGGCCAUAGCAUAAUGAUCCGGACUGCAGAAUACGAGCUCAGAGAAGUAUGUCCAGGUUCUAUUUUCUCAAGGAGAGCCAGCAGACACUUCUCCAGAAUAUGAUAUGGGCAGGAGACCUGCUCAGCUUCUGGGGUUCAGGAUUAUCCUGCUACUGUCCUUAGCCACAAAUGGCACCUACGCUUUUCUUGCACCUCAGGCUGAUGCCCAGGGUUCUGUCACUGUAGAAGUGUACUGUGGCUUUGUGACAAGCAAGUUAUUAAGACAAGACACAUGAUGUUUAUUUAACACAUUAAGGGACAACUCAUACUCUCCUUAGACUCUCCAUAGCACCUAUUAAGGUUUGGGGUCACGACUGGGCUGGCAUUAAUACAUUUAUUUUCCCUGCUAGCUAUUAUUCCUUGAAGUCUGUUGGGAAGGAGAGCUAGGGAAAGCCUUUCCUAUAUAAUUUUCUUUAUCCUCAUCAAUUUUCUCUGCUACCUCACACCAGACCCAUGCUGCCCAAAGGGACAUCCUUUGGCAAAAUGGAUUUUGCACCUGUCAGAAGAGAAACGUUGAAGGAACUGUCAGCUGUCUGGGCAGGCAGGACACCUGCAUUCUUUUUCUAUUGGACUUCUGCACUGUCUCAUUCCUUCCUCCUUAACCCACAUGCUUUUCCUUCUCCCCUGGAACCACGGGCACAGUAGCCAAGGCAUCAUUGAUCCCGUGAAGAGACCCAACCAGGGGGUGGGUUCUGAGCAGCCCCCUGGCUCUCUUGUCCCAGCUAAGAGUAUUCAAGUUCAAAACAUAAAGUCUGACAUAGACAGAGAUUCUGUCUAUAAUUACUUAUAAUUUCAUGCCCUCUUCCUUUCUGUCUGUCCUUUAAUGACAUUAUUGUACCUUUAUAAAUCCAUCUCUUGCAAGUGUGCUGUAGAAUUACUAAGAAGGGAAGCUGUUAAAUGACUUUACUACUGAUGCCUGUGCAGUACAGCUAUAUGAUUGUUAGGGACUAAAUUCUGUUUUCCCCAAAUUCAUAGUUGAGGCCCUAAGUCCCAGUGGGGCUGUAUUUGGAGACAGGGUCUAGAAGGAGCCAGUAAUGGUCACGUGAGGUCACAAGGAUGGGGCCCUGAUCUGAUAGGUCUGUCCUUAUAAGAAGAGGAAGAGACAACAGAGGUCUCUCUCUCCACAUGUGCACUUGCAGAAGAUCAUGUGCGGACCCAGCCAGGGCAGCUGUCUGCCAGCCAGGAAGAGACUUCACCACUCUCCAAGCUGAAUGGCACCUUGAUGUUAGACUUGCAGCCUCCAGAAGGGUGGGAAGACCCAUGUCUGUUGUUUAAGCCCCACCAGUCUGUGGCAUUUGGUGAUGGCAGCCCAAGCAGACCUACGCAGUGGUGAGUCUUUAAAAAGAAGGGUGAACUCAGAGAUCAAAGAGGGCCACCACGGGUGCUAGCAGGUUAGGACUCAAAAGACCAUUGUAAUUCUUCUUACUGCCUGAAGUGAGAAAUUGCAAGACCUGCCAAUCAGUGUCAUAUAGACAUGUCUUGCUCUUAGAAGGACAAGUGGAAACAUUUUUAAGGAAACCUGUUUUAGAAGUUGAGAGCGGAAAGAGGGGAAUUUAUAGAGUCAUUCCUGUCCAGGAUGUGGAAGUGGCCCUGAGUCAGUUACUGAGAAAGAUCAUGGAAGCUGGUAAAAGGACUCAUUCUUGGCAGGAGCUAUUUAAGGAUGCUGUAGUUUGGAUCUGUAAUGUUCCCCAAAGGCCUACAUAUUAAAGGCUUGGUCCCCAGCCCCCCAGCCCAUGGUGCUAUUUGGAGGUGGUGAAACCUCUAGGAGGUGGGGCCUACUGGAAGGAAGUUAUAUCAUUGAGAUGUGCCCUUGAAGGGGAUAUUGGGAUUCCAGCUCCUCUUCUGUCUCUCUCUUUGCUUCCCAGCCACCAUGAGGUGAGCAGGUUGCUCCAGUACACAUUCCCACCAUGACGGCUGUGUCACCACAGGCUCAAAGGAACAGGACCACUAAUCAUGAACUAGGCUCUCUGAAACUAUGAACCAAAAUAAACCCUUUUUCUUUUUCAGUUGAUUAUGUCAGGUAUUUUGUUACAGUAAUGGGAAGCUGACUAACACACAGGGUUACAUGACUAGAUAAAAGGAAAAAGGGAGGGAAGGGUACAUGAAUUAACAUGAGUGGUCAUUCUAAGUCCUUAUAUCCUCAAAUCCAGCUAUUCUUCAAGACAUGGCUUGGGGUCUUCAGGAAGAUGGAGGAUGCCUAGAUUUUCUGUUUUAUUUUGCCUGUUGGCAAUGACCUUGGGCAGAAAUGUUUGGAGUAAACCAUCAGGCCAGGAAAUCUGUAUUGGAGUGCUGGAUACAGAUGCUUUCAACAAAUCCUGAAAUAGAGACAGCUCCCAUUAGCUGUCAUCUUAGCAAAGACAUUCAGGGAGUUGAUGGAAGAUAUGUGUCCUCAGAGGACAAAGCCAAGGUCACUGUUAUAAGGCAGUCAGGGUUCAGGGUGAUUCCCAAGGCCAUAUGCAGAUUCUUGUCUCAGCUUUGCUUUGCAGAACACACGUCUGCAGAUGGAAAGGUGGCUGGGAGUAGGCCAGCUCAGCACCUGGCCCAAAGUCCCACUAGGGACUGGGCCAAGGCCUUUAGAAAGCCACACACCUGGUCCCUCAGAGAAGAGACGGGCCUUUCCCAGAAAGCCCACCUCCCCAACACAGCACAGACCCCGAGGGGCCUUCCCAUGCAGCCCCAGGCCCACUUGCUCAUCUCAUGUCUAUCUUCUGACCUGAGCUUUAUAAAGUCUUUUCAACUCUUCUUGCUUAACCAAUUGCCUUGUUGCUUUUUCCAGUUUCCUCCUUCUUCUGAGUAUCUUCUCUUCCUAAGGGAAACAAUAGAGAAGGAAAAAUAAGACUGCUAAAAGCAGGACUGAAAUUUACAAAUUGUCUUCACAGUCUUCCGCCCUUCCACAGCUCCCAGCCAUUGGCUUAGCUUCUAGGAUGAUGGCAUCCUCUAUCACUUCCGGCAGAGAUGGAAAUAAGCUGUAUCCGUGCUGUAUAAAAUAUGGCCCUCUGUGCCUAUCAGACACUGGAAAUGAGACGAAUGUGAAGAAGAAAUUGAAUUUUAAAUUUAAUUUUAAUGAAUUUAAGUGGCCACACAUGGCUAGUGGGUGUCAGAAUGUAAGUGUGUGUGUGUGUGUGUGGGGGGGAGGAUAGGUGGGAGAGGCUUUAAUCAAGUACUAACUAGGUUUAGCUCAGUUGAAGAAUGAAAUAAUAGAAUAAUUAGACUUAUAUGGGUGCUUCCACCCUGCCCAGGGAUGAUGGCCCCAGGCAGGCAGGCAUACACACACACACACACACACACACACAAUGAACACCAGUUGAAAACUUUAAACAGUACUAAAGUUGGGUCUACAAUAUAUAAAUAAACUUAUAAACAGGAGAAUGUAUCUACAUAAUUCAAAGUAAAGUGUUUCUUGGUUUUGAAACAUUUGGCAUAAGGCUACUUCCCAUCCGUACCUCACUUUGCUUGUACAAAUACAGCAUUAUCAUCAUGGGUUUUGUGUAUGCCUGGACUUGUUCAAAGACAGAAAGAGGGGGAAAAAAGAAUAUCCAGUACUGAUCCAUGUAAAACAGAUGUCUGGCUCUCGAUGGUGCCACUCCCAAGGUUUUAGAUACCAAGGAAAGAAGAAGUGGUGGUGUGGCACUUCUACCAAUUGGAGAUUUUCCUGAUCAGAGAAGCAGCAGAGCAAUGGCCCCGACCUGGGCCAAGAAAAGCUGCCAUCAAUUCCCAGAGGAGCUGUGUGAACUUCAGAAGAUUCCUCAGCUUUCUGAAUGCCAGAGUCCUCUUCCAAGUGAUGAGGAGGAUUCAAUGCCCACCUCGAAGGGAUACAACAAGGGCAAAGCGAGAUGAUGUGGGCAAGCGCUUUGCAGAAGGCUCAGAAAAAGAGAUCAGACUAUAAUCAAUAACAUGAUUUUCACUACCAACAUAUUAUUUUGUAUUAUAAAUCAACAUGACUAUGUUCUACUAAAAUCUAUUACUUUUUGGGUGUAGGAGUAUGUUUUAAACCACACACACACACACCCGGUAUAGUUAAGAUAAAUGUUCAAAUUGGGCUAGUUUUACUGUGAGUUUACCUUCUCUGAACAAACACAUCAACUUUAUACAUAUUAGAAUGAGGAUUAUAACAUGCUAGACCUUACUUUUCAAUACUGGAAGAAACAAAUAUGGAACUUAUUUUUUAUAUUUUAAUUGACAUGUAGUGACUAUACAUAUUUAUGGGGUCUAGUGAGAUACUUUAAUGCAUUUAUAAAAUGUGCAAUGAUCAUAUCAGGGGAACUGGCAUAUCUAUUAUCUCAGAAAACAAAUAGGGAAUUUAAAAAUUGCUGCAACUAGCUUCAUAUCCGGGCACUCAAAGACUGUGAUGAUUAUUUUCUCAUUCAAUGAUUGUCAAUCCAUAAAUGGGGAAUAGAGAUUUAAAGACCUACUGCCAGGGCAAUCUGGGUCCAAACCAGAGGUCAGAGACUAUUCUUUGAAAGCACUUAUGCUUCAGGGCCUUGUGGUUCUCUCUGUCACCUCCUUGGCUACGGAUGGAGAAACCAUCACGAGCAUCCAGUUUGAAGCCUCCGGAAGCUUUGCCCAUUAUCAGUGGAAACAUUCACUUUAAAAAUGAGAUUUGAUUUUCUUGAAUUCUCCUUAGGACCUAAAUCCUGAAGCUAUUCAUGCUGGGAAAAAAUAUUUUGGCUCUCAGAACCCAAUUUUUCUUAUAUUACAUCAUCUUUGUUUCUUUGGGAAUCCUUCCAGAUGACUAUCAAUCAGCCUGAAGAGGGGUUUCAGGCCUUUUGCAUGGGGAACCCUUCAGUUGGUAGCUAGGAUCUUUGAGGAGAGGCUGGUGCAGGGAGAGAGGUGGUAGGGAUCAACAAGCUGCGAUCCAGAGAAGACCAACUCAACCUGUAUGGAAAAUAAAUUCAUUGACUUAACAAGUA